rnacentral:lncRNA from 1 species
UAAGAUGUCUGUUCUUCCUCUCAGCCACUCCAUUUUGUUGAGGUGUAUAAGGGCAACUCGUUUGAUGGAGUAUCCCAUGUUGAGCUAGAUGGUUUUUGAAUGCAUGGCCAGUAUACUCUCCACCAUUAUCAGACCUGAAAAUCUUAAUCUUGGCAUUAUACUGGUUAGAAACAUAUAAUUGAAAGUUUCUAAAUGCAUCUAGAACCCUAUCCUUUGUUUUAAUUAGUGUUAUCCAGGUGUAUUUGGAUUUCUCAUCUAUGAAUGUGACAAAGUAUUUGUAAUUGUCCCUAGAUAAGCAUGGAGCAGUCCAUACAUCAGAAUGAACAAGAUCAAAGCAUUUAUCAUAGAUAGUAGUAGAUCUCUUGAACACAGUCUUACAAUGUUUUCCCAAAAUACAAGCUUCACACUCAUUAUUUUUAAACAUGACACCUGGUAACAUUAAGCUUAAGGCUCUAACAUGUGGAUGUCCUAGCCUAGAAUGCCACAAUGCACCUCUACUUAAAACGGAACUCAACAAGCAACUAGAACUAGAAAUGAAAGAAAGGUCUUCAAGUAAAUAAAGGUCUCCUUUGGUUACUCCUUGCCCAAUCAACUUACUGCUUUCAAUAUCCUGAAAUUUCACAUCAUUAGGACUGAAAAUAACAUUGCAUUGAAGAUCAUUGGUACACCUCUUAACAGAUAAUAGAUUAGAAGUAAACUCAGGCAUGUACAAAGCUUUAGAAUCCUUAUUAAACAGUUUCAAGUCUCCUACACCUCUAAUAGGAAUUCUAUCACCAUUUGCAAUCAUUACAUGUCCAUGAGCCGGUUCUAUGUUCUUUAUAAGGCUAUCAUCACUUAUCAUAUGGUGUGAAGCACCUGAAUCAAUAAUCAAUGGUUUUAUUCCUUGAGCAAUAUGAUUCCUAGGUGAUUCUUUUACCAUUUUCAGUUUAUCAAUGAGAUCAAGCAAUGUGGAUUCAUUUCUAGACAUCCUAUCAGCAGCAAAAGUUGUAUAUCUACCUUGUUCAUUUCCCAUUCUAUCAAAGUUUCCUAGCAAGCUAUCACAAGUUCUAGGCAACACAUGAGCAGUAUAAGAAUAACCAAGGGCGUUACCAGACUCCUUAAGGGCUUUGAUCAAGGCAUCAAUGUCUGACUUCUUGAUCACCUCAUGAUCCAUGUUCUUCACAGCUACUUGGUGGUGAGAGGUUAAGGCUCUUCCUUCACUUUCACCCGCAAGACCAGAUGAGCCAGCUCCUGAUGCGCCAGCUUCACUUGUCUCUGCAGAAAGGUGAGCUCUUCCCUCUCUCUCCUUGUUGAACUUGGCCGGCUUCAAAUGGGGGUGUAGGAUCCAGCACUGACUCCUCUUGUGUCCCGGCUUCUUGCAAUGGUCACAGUUUCCACUGAACUUCCUUUCCUCUCCACGGUAAGCAGCCUUGUUUGCUUGGAUUGCUUCAGCCUUGUUGGACAGAGCCAUGUCUCCUUUCCCUCCAAACAUACCAAGUGACCCCUCUUCCUUCUGAAUCUGCGCACACACUUCCUCCAUGGAUGGAAGACUCGGCAUCCUCAACAUGUGCUUGAUCACAUCAUUGAAUGGAGGAUCUAGUGUCAACAGCAAUCCAAACACCUGAUCCUGCUCCCUCCUCUCCAUGAGUAGCUCUUGAUCCGCGGUGCUUGGCCUCAAUGAUUCAAGCUCAGACCACAAGGAUCUAUACUUGCCCAAAUGCUUGGUGAACUCUUCCCCAUCUUGUACCAGUGUGUUGAUGGCCUUCUUAAUCUCAAACACACGGUUCAGAUUGGUAACGUUCCCAAAGGUCUUCUGGAGUACCUCCCACAGGUGUUUUGGAGUCUCGCAGUAGCUGUAGGCCUCCAAGAGAUGCUCUUCAAGGGACCCUUGUAGCACUGAAAGCACCAUCAAGUCUUCUUGAAUCCACUUCUUCUCGGCCGCAGCAACUUGAUCUCCCACACCCUCAUCUCCUUCUCCGUCUUUAGCCACUGGCUUGGUUGCAUCAUCCGUGAUGUGACUCCACAGCCCUAGCCUCCCAAUGGCUGUCUUCACCAGCCUUGACCACAACAGGUAGUUACUACCACCCUUCAACGCAACAGGAACCGUAAUGACCUUGUAGUUUCCCUCCAUCUUGCUUUGUUAGAACCGAAAAGAAAGUAUGAACUAGUAUGAACUGAAGCUGAAGAACACUCUAAAUCUCAAUACCAAAGCCAACCUGGCUCUGAUACCAUAUGAUUUUAGAGAGUUGAACAGGUAUUGAGAGAUUUAGAGAAAGAUUAAAGUGAUAUGAGAUGAUUUAUGAAAUGUAGAAGAGAAACAUGAUGAACUAGAGAGAGAAUAUGAUGAACUCAUGAUUUUAGAGAGUUGAACAGGUAUUGAGAGAUUUAGAGAAAGAUUAAAGUGAGAUGAGAUGAUUUAUGAAAUGUAGAAGAGAAACAUGAUGAACUAGAGAGAGAAUAUGAUGAACUCGUGUUAAUCAUUAAUCAAGACAGAGUUUACAAUAUAUAGAGAGAGACAUUAGGGUAUUCAGAAGCACUAAGCAUGUGAGGUCAAGGAUAAGGUUGCUUUAAUUUGAAUGUAAACCAAUGGGGAUGAUCACACGCUUAAGGCAUCUUUGGGUGAGACUCCUUUUGCCUUUACAGCCUGUGCCAGACUGUCAGGAUAAGCCGCGGUCACUCUAUCCAUCCAAACAGUCAUAUCUUCUAUGGUAAAUCCCCUUUGGCCGUUUACCUCUCUUACCCGGGUAACUUCUCUUCUUGGCCGAGUUAUGGAUCGACCCGGACAGUACAGACGGUACGGCCAGUACGGCCUCUUGUACGGCCUGGUCGAUCCCUAACCUUCCUUCCCUUUGCCUCCACAUUCUCACAUCCUUAACUCCCUAAGCCAUCUUCUCACAUAUUGAUCAACUCAUUUCAACACUCCCCCUCAAGCUUAACUUAAUAACUUAGUUAAGCUUGGAACCACCAUGAGAUCUUCCUCAUUAAAAACCUCACCAAGGAAAACCCAAUGGGACAAAACCUUGAUGAGGGAAAAAGAGUGAAGACCUCAUGGCAAAAGGGGAUCAGCUCCUUGGGGAAAGAUCUAUGAGUCCCAAUCUGGUAUGAAUGGACUCCAUAGUCUUUUGUCUCGCAGCCUUGGUGAACACAUCCGCAAGUUGAUCCUCACUCCUUGUAUAGCAUGGCAAGAUCACUCCCAAGACAAUCAUCUGCCUCACCUUGUGGCAAUCAACUUCAAUGUGUUUGGUUCUCUCAUGGAAGACAGAGUUGGUUGCAAUGUGUAUAGCCGCUUGAUUAUCACAAUGCAUAGUCAUUGGAGUUCCCUGCUCUAUCUCCAAGUUCUUCAAGAUUCCUUUGAUCCAUACCAACUCAUUGGUAAGCUUCAGCAUUGCUCUAUACUCAGCUUCAGCGCUUGAACAAGACACCACCUUCUGCUUCUUACUCUUCCAAGUCACCAAGUUGCCUCCAAUGAAUGUACAAUAUAGCCAGUGGUUGAUCUCCUGUCUGCUCUAUCUCCAGCCCAAUCCGCAUCACAGUAUCCCACCACUUCAGUGCUCUUGUUGCAUCCCAUCCACACUCCAAGGCUUGACGUCCCAUUCAGAUACAAGAGAAGUCUCUCCACCAUGCGCCAGUGAUGAUCCUUUGGGACUUGCAUAUGCUGGCUCACUUGGUUCACCGCAAAGCAUAUGUCUGGUCGUGUGAUUGUGAGGUAGAUAAGCUUCCCUACUAGCUUCCUGUACAGCUUUGGAUCAUGAAAGGCCUUGCUGUCUUCAAUCUCCCCCUCACGUGGAACCUUGUAUCCAUCUUCAAGAGGCAUCUUUGCUGUCUUGUCUCCUUGUAUACCUGCAUCUUUCAAAAGAUCAAGUGUAUACUUCCUUUGGGAAAUGAACAAUCCUUCCUUAGAUCUACACAACUCAAUUCCAAGGAAGUAUUUCAUUUCCCCUAAGUCUUUGAUUUCAAACACAGAUUUCAAAAACUCCUUUGUGGCUUUUAUACCAGCCUUAUCACUACCUGUUAUGAUAAUGUCAUCAACAUAUACAAGUAGACAGAUGAUACCUGAAGGUGUAGUGAGAGUGAAGAGGGUGUGAUCCAAAUCUGACUUCUUGAACCCAUGCCCAUUCAGAGUAGUGCUCAGCUUGUUGUACCAUGCUCUAGGUGAUUGCUUUAACCCAUAGAUUGCCUUCUUGAGUCUCAAUACAUUCCCUGGUUUCACCAGAUGCUCUAGGCCUGGUGGUGGAUGCAUAUACACUUCAUCCUCUAGCUCUCCUUGAAGAAAGGCAUUCUUCACAUCCAUCUGCCAAAGCUCCCACUCAAGGUUCACAGCAAGAGACAAUACAAUCCUUAUUGUAUGUAGCUUGGCAACAGGAGCAAAGGUGUCAAUGUAGUCUUCCCCAUAUGUUUGAGUGUAUCCUCUAGCCACCAGUCUUGUCUUCUUUCUCUCAAUGGUUCCAUCAGGUAGAUACUUAAUGGUGAAUAUCCACUUGCUGGUUACUGCCUUCUUUCCUUUUGGUAACUCACUUUCAAACCAAGUGUCAUUCUUUAUCAUGGCAUUUGCUUCAUCUCCAACAGAUUCCUUCCAAUCUUGAUGUAGCAUUGCUUCUUCAUAUGAUCUUGGUAUACUGCUUUCAUCUAGGCUCAUCAUGAAUGCGCAAUGCUCCUUUGGAUAACAGGCAAAUGAACACACAGCUUGAGAAGGAUGCUCCACAGCCUGGGCAUUGUAGUACACUCUCGUGUUUACCCAGUUGGAAGCAUCUCUCUUCAGCCGUGUGCUUCUCAUUAAUGGUACCUCAGCUGGUGCUUGCUCUGGUGCUUCUACUUCAGUAGCUUCCACUCCUCCUUGUUCUGGUAGCUCAUUAGGCUCUUCAUUACUUGGUUCAGCUCCACCUUGAUCAGGAUGAUCCGCAAAAUCUUGACUCUCAUCCGGCUCAAUUCCAUUCCCUCCCUCAUGAUCAAGGUGAGAUGGUUCUUCAGCUUCUUGUCUUUCAGAUGACUGAUUCUCUGUCGACUCCUGGGACAUUCCAAUUCCAAGACCUUCUAGUAUCUGUCUCAAGCUUGUAGCUCUAUCUGAAGGUUGUGAAAGAUCCUCCAGCUCUUUCCAAUCUUUAUCUUCAUAGUAGCUCUUCUCUUCAAAGAACUUGACAUCUCUUGAUACAAGGACUCUCCUUGACUCAGGAACAAAGCACUUGUAUCCCUUCUGUGUGGUUGAGUAUCCUAUCAUCAUAGCUUUGAUACUCUUUGCUUCCAGCUUGUUUCUCAUCUCUCCCGGGAUAAGAACAUAGCUUACACACCCAAACACUCUUAGGUGAUCUAGGACUGGCUUGCUGUUGUUGAGAACUUCAUAAGGAGCUUUAUCUUCCAGGAUCUUGGUUGGAAUCCUAUUGAUUAGGUAGCAAGCCGUGAUCACAGCAUCACUCCAGAAUCUCUUUGGCACUCUCAUCUGGAACAUCAUUGAUCUAGCCACUUCCAUAAGAUGUCUAUUCUUCCUUUCAGCCACUCCAUUUUGUUGAGGUGUAUAAGGGCAACUCGUUUGAUGGAGUAUCCCAUGUUGAGCUAGAUGGUUCUUGAAUGCAUGGCCAGUAUACUCUCCACCAUUAUCAGACCUGAAAAUCUUAAUCUUGGCAUUAUACUGGUUAGAAACAUAUAAUUGAAAGUUUCUAAAUGCAUCUAGAACCCUAUCCUUUGUUUUAAUUAGUGUUAUCCAGGUGUAUUUGGAUUUCUCAUCUAUGAAUGUGACAAAGUAUUUGUAAUUGUCCCUAGAUAAGCAUGGAGCAGUCCAUACAUCAGAAUGAACAAGAUCAAAGCAUUUAUCAUAGAUAGUAGUAGAUCUUUUGAACACAGUCUUACAAUGUUUUCCCAAAAUACAAGCUUCACACUCAUUAUUUUUAAACAUGACACCUGGUAACAUUAAGCUUAAGGCUCUAACAUGUGGAUGUCCUAGCCUAGAAUGCCACAAUGCACCUCUACUUAAAACGGAACUCAACAAGCAACUAGAACUAGAAAUGAAAGAAAGGUCUUCAAGUAAAUACAGGUCUCCUUUGGUUACUCCUUGCCCAAUCAACUUACUGCUUUCAAUAUCCUGAAAUUUCACAUCAUUAGGACUGAAAAUAACAUUGCAUUGAAGAUCAUUGGUACACCUCUUAACAGAUAAUAGAUUAGAAGUAAACUCAGGCAUGUACAAAGCUUUAGAAUCCUUAUUAAACAGUUUCAAGUCUCCUACACCUCUAAUAGGAAUUCUAUCACCAUUUGCAAUCAUUACAUGUCCAUGAGCCGGUUCUAUGUUCUUUAUAAGGCUAUCAUCACUUAUCAUAUGGUGUGAAGCACCUGAAUCAAUAAUCAAUGGUUUUAUUCCUUGAGCAAUAUGAUUCCUAGGUGAUUCUUUUACCAUUUUCAGUUUAUCAAUGAGAUCAAGCAAUGUGGAUUCAUUUCUAGACAUCCUAUCAGCAGCAAAAGUUGUAUAUCUACCUUGUUCAUUUCCCAUUCUAUCAAGGUUUCCUAGCAAGCUAUCACAAGUUCUAGGCAACACAUGAGCAGUAUAAGAAUAACCAAGGGCGUUACCAGACUCCUUAAGAGCUUUGAUCAAGGCAUCAAUGUCUGACUUCUUGAUCACCUCAUGAUCCAUGUUCUUCACAGCUACUUGGUGGUGAGAGGUUAAGGCUCUUCCUUCACUUUCACCCGCAAGACCAGAUGAGCCAGCUCCUGAUGCGCCAGCUUCACUUGUCUCUGCAGAAAGGUGAGCUCUUCCCUCUCUCUCCUUGUUGAACUUGGCCGGCUUCAAAUGGGGGUGUAGGAUCCAGCACUGACUCCUCUUGUGUCCCGGCUUCUUGCAAUGGUCACAGUUUCCACUGAACUUCCUUUCCUCUCCACGGUAAGCAGCCUUGUUUGCUUGGAUUGCUUCAGCCUUGUUGGACAGAGCCAUGUCUCCUUUCCCUCCAAACAUACCAAGUGACCCCUUUUCCUUCUGAAUCUGCGCACACACUUCCUCCAUGGAUGGAAGACUCGGCAUCCUCAACAUGUGCUUGAUCACAUCAUUGAAUGGAGGAUCUAGUGUCAACAGCAACCCAAACACCUGAUCCUGCUCCCUCCUCUCCAUGAGUAGCUCUUGAUCCGCGGUGCUUGGCCUCAAUGAUUCAAGCUCAGACCACAAAGAUCUAUACUUGCCCAAAUGCUUGGUGAACUCUUCCCCAUCUUGUACCAGUGUGUUGAUGGCCUUCUUAAUCUCAAACACACGGUUCAGAUUGGUAACGUUCCCAAAAGUCUUCUGGAGUACCUCCCACAGGUGUUUUGGAGUCUCGCAGUAGCUGUAGGCCUCCAAGAGAUGCUCUUCAAGGGACCCUUGUAGCACUGAAAGCACCAUCAAGUCUUCUUGAAUCCACUUCUUCUCUGCCGCAGCAACUUGAUCUCCCACACCCUCAUCUCCUUCUCCGUCUUUAGCCACUGGCUUGGUUGCAUCAUCCGUGAUGUGACUCCACAGCCCUAGCCUCCCAAUGGCUGUCUUCACCAGCCUUGACCACAACAGGUAGUUACUACCACCCUUCAACGCAACAGGAACCGUAAUGACCUUGUAGUUUCCCUCCAUCUUGCUUUGUUAGAACCGAAAAGAAAGUAUGAACUAGUAUGAACUGGAGCUGAAGAACACUCUAAAUCUCAAUACCAAAGCCAACCUGGCUCUGAUACCAUAUGAUUUUAGAGAGUUGAACAGGUAUUGAGAGAUUUAGAGAAAGAUUAAAGUGAGAUGAGAUGAUUUAUGAAAUGUAGAAGAGAAACAUGAUGAACUAGAGAGAGAAUAUGAUGAACUCGUGUUAAUCAUUAAUCAAGACAGAGUUUACAAUAUAUAGAGAGAGACAUUAGGGUAUUCAGAAGCACUAAGCAUGUGAGGUCAAGGAUAAGGUUGCUUUAAUUUGAAUGUAAACCAAUGGGGAUGAUCACACGCUUAAGGCAUCUUUGGGUGAGACUCCUUUUGCCUUUACAGCCUGUGCCAGACUGUCAGGAUAAGCCGCGGUCACUCUAUCCAUCCAAACAGUCAUAUCUUCUAUGGUAAAUCCCCUUUGGCCGUUUACCUCUCUUACCCGGGUAACUUCUCUUCUUGGCCGAGUUAUGGCUCGACCCGGACAGUACGGACGGUACGGCCAGUACGGCCUCUUGUACGGCCUGGUCGAUCCCUAACCUUCCUUCCCUUUGCCUCCACAUUCUCACAUCCUUAACUCCCUAAGCCAUCUUCUCACAUAUUGAUCAACUCAUUUCAACACUCCCCCUCAAGCUUAACUUAAUAACUUAGUUAAGCUUGGAACCACCAUGAGAUCUUCCUCAUUAAAAACCUCACCAAGGAAAACCCAAUGGGAUAAAACUUUGAUGAGGGAAAAAGAGUAAAGACCUUGCAGCUAAGGGGAUUAGCUCCUUCUCUUCCCAAGAUCCAAAACCUUGAUGAGGGAAAAAGAGUGAAGACCUCAUGGCAAAAGGGGAUCAGCUCCUUGGGGAAAGAUCUAUGAGCCCCAAUCUGGUAUGAAUGGACUCCAUAGUCUUUUGUCUCGCAGCCUUGGUGAACACAUCCGCAAGUUGAUCCUCACUCCUUGUAUAGCAUGGCAAGAUCACUCCCAAGACAAUCAUCUGCCUCACCUUGUGGCAAUCAACUUCAAUGUGUUUGGUUCUCUCAUGGAAGACAGAGUUGGUUGCAAUGUGUAUAGCCGCUUGAUUGUCACAAUGCAUAGUCAUUGGAGUUCCCUGCUCUAUCUCCAAGUGCUUCAAGAUUCCUUUGAUCCAUACCAACUCAUUGGUAAGCUUCAGCAUUGCUCUAUACUCAGCUUCAGCGCUUGAACAAGACACCACCUUCUGCUUCUUACUCUUCCAAGUCACCAAGUUGCCUCCAAUGAAUGUACAAUAGCCAGUGGUUGAUCUCCUGUCUGCUCUAUCUCCAGCCCAAUCAGCAUCACAGUAACCCACCACUUCAGUGCUCUUGUUACAUCCCAUCCACACUCCAAGGCUUGACGUCCCAUUCAGAUACAAGAGAAGUCUCUCCACCAUGCGCCAGUGAUGAUCCUUUGGGACUUGCAUAUGCUGGCUCACUUGGUUCACCGCAAAGCAUAUGUCUGGUCGUGUGAUUGUGAGGUAGAUAAGCUUCCCUACUAGCUUUCUGUACAGCUUUGGAUCAUGAAAGGCCUUGCUGUCUUCAAUCUCCCCCUCACGUGGAACCUUGUAUCCAUCUUCAAGAGGCAUCUUUGCUGUCUUGUCUCCUUGUAUACCUGCAUCUUUCAAAAGAUCAAGUGUAUACUUCCUUUGGGAAAUGAACAAUCCUUCCUUAGAUCUACACAACUCAAUUCCAAGGAAGUAUUUCAUUUCCCCUAAGUCUUUGAUUUCAAACACAGAUUUCAAAAACUCCUUUGUGGCUUUUAUACCAGCCUUAUCACUACCUGUUAUGAUAAUGUCAUCAACAUAUACAAGUAGACAGAUGAUACCUGAAGGUGUAGUGAGAGUGAAGAGGGUGUGAUCCAACUCUGACUUCUUGAACCCACGCCCAUUCAGAGUAGUGCUCAGCUUGUUGUACCAUGCUCUAGGUGAUUGCUUUAACCCAUAGAUUGCCUUCUUGAGUCUCAAUACAUUCCCUGGUUUCACCAGAUGCUCUAGGCCUGGUGGUGGAUGCAUAUACACUUCAUCCUCUAGCUCUCCUUGAAGAAAGGCAUUCUUCACAUCCAUCUGCCAAAGCUCCCACUCAAGGUUCACAGCAAGAGACAAUACAAUCCUUAUUGUAUGUAGCUUGGCAACAGGAGCAAAGGUGUCAAUGUAGUCUUCCCCAUAUGUUUGAGUGUAUCCUCUAGCCACCAGUCUUGUCUUCUUUCUCUCAAUGGUUCCAUCAGGUAGAUACUUAAUGGUGAAUAUCCACUUGCUGGUUACUGCCUUCUUUCCUUUUGGUAACUCACUUUCAAACCAAGUGUCAUUCUUUAUCAUGGCAUUUGCUUCAUCUCCAACAGAUUCCUUCCAAUCUUGAUGUAGCAUUGCUUCUUCAUAUGAUCUUGGUAUACUGCUUUCAUCUAGGCUCAUCAUGAAUGCGCAAUGCUCCUUUGGAUAACAGGCAAAUGAACACACAGCUUGAGAAGGAUGCUCCACAGCCUGGGCAUUGUAGUACACUCUCGUGUUUACCCAGUUGGAAGCAUCUCUCUUCAGCCGUGUGCUUCUCCUUAAUGGUACCUCAGCUGGUGCUUGCUCUGGUGCUUCUACUUCAGUAGCUUCCACUCCUCCUUGUUCUGGUAGCUCAUUAGGCUCUUCAUUACUUGGUUCAGCUCCACCUUGAUCAGGAUGAUCCGCAAAAUCUUGACUCUCAUCCGGCUCAAUUCCAUUCCCUCCCUCAUGAUCAAGGUGAGAUGGUUCUUCAGCUUCUUGUCUUUCAGAUGACUGAUUCUCUGUCGACUCCUGGGACAUUCCAAUUCCAAGACCUUCUAGUAUCUGUCUCAAGCUUGUAGCUCUAUCUGAAGGUUGUGAAAGAUCCUCCAGCUCUUUCCAAUCUUUAUCUUCAUAGUAGCUCUUCUCUUCAAAGAACUUGACAUCUCUUGAUACAAGAACUCUCCUUGACUCAGGAACAAAGCACUUGUAUCCCUUCUGUGUGGUUGAGUAUCCUAUCAUCAUAGCUUUGAUACUCUUUGCUUCCAGCUUGUUUCUCAUCUCUCCCGGGAUAAGAACAUAGCUUACACACCCAAACACUCUUAGGUGAUCUAGGACUGGCUUGCUGUUGUUGAGAACUUCAUAAGGAGCUUUAUCUUCCAGGAUCUUGGUUGGAAUCCUAUUGAUUAGGUAGCAAGCCGUGAUCACAGCAUCACUCCAGAAUCUCUUUGGCACUCUCAUCUGGAACAUCAUUGAUCUAGCCACUUCCAUAAGAUGUCUGUUCUUCCUUUCAGCCACUCCAUUUUGUUGAGGUGUAUAUGGGCAACUCGUUUGAUGGAGUAUCCCAUGUUGAGCUAGAUGGUUCUUGAAUGCAUGGCCAGUAUACUCUCCACCAUUAUCAGACCUGAAAAUCUUAAUCUUGGCAUUAUACUGGUUAGAAACAUAUAAUUGAAAGUUUCUAAAUGCAUCUAGAACCCUAUCCUUUGUUUUAAUUAGUGUUAUCCAGGUGUAUUUGGAUUUCUCAUCUAUGAAUGUGACAAAGUAUUUGUAAUUGUCCCUAGAUAAGCAUGGAGCAGUCCAUACAUCAGAAUGAACAAGAUCAAAGCAUUUAUCAUAGAUAGUAGUAGAUCUUUUGAACACAGUCUUACAAUGUUUUCCCAAAAUACAAGCUUCACACUCAUUAUUUUUAAACAUGACACCUGGUAACAUUAAGCUUAAGGCUCUAACAUGUGGAUGUCCUAGCCUAGAAUGCCACAAUGCACCUCUACUUAAAACGGAACUCAACAAGCAACUAGAACUAGAAAUGAAAGAAAGGU